rnacentral:rRNA from 1 species
ACGGGAGGCAGCAGUGGGGAAUAUUGCACAAUGGGGGAAACCCUGAUGCAGCGACGCCGCGUGAGUGAAGAAGUAUUUCGGUAUGUAAAGCUCUAUCAGUAGGGAAGAAAAUGACGGUACCUAACUAAGAAGCCCCGGCUAACUACGUGCCAGCAGCCGCGGUAAUACGUAGGGAGCAAGCGUUAUCCGGAUUUACUGGGUGUAAAGGGCGUGUAGGCGGCUCUGCAAGUCAGAAGUGAAAUCCCCGAGCUUAACUUGGGUGCUGCUUCUGAAACUGUAGAACUUGAGUACUGGAGGGGAAAGCGGAAUUCCUAGUGUAGCGGUAAAAUGCGCAGAUAUUAGGAGGAACACCGGUGGCGAAGGCGGCUUUCUGGACAGUAACUGAUGCUGAGGCGCGAAAGCGUGGGGAGCAAACAGGAUUAGAUACCCUGGUA